CACCGUCGCUGGCUCCAAGGCACACGCUAUCAUGUUCUUAACAUUUCUUGAGAGAAACGCUUUCCUUCCCACCUUGAGAUAUUUUUAUUUGAAUCUAGGUUCUGGGGUAGCUUUAGAACUCAUUCUGGACUGAAACUGAAAGCGUGAGGAGGGUCCAGCUAAUCGGCAAACAAUUUUCACUCCCCAAGUUAUCUAUUACUCGUGGCUGAUCUGGAUGUAAAAAUAGCCUCUGAGGCUGUUUGUUUAAUCUGACUGUUACUUGACACCACGCGGGUGUUGCAGAGCGGACUGUUUGCCUCUUCCCCACCAAGAACACCAUUUGGUUUCCCCAGGCCAGUCUCUGCUUGGGGAAGCCUCUGGACCUUCCGUGUCUGGCAGCUUCUGGCCACUGAUUUUGCUCAAGUGGGCAAUUUGGUGUGAGACGCAGGCAGCCUGGGUUUUGAAUCCUCUUUCCUCUCCUCUCUGGGCAGCCUGGUCAAAGGGGAAGAAGUCUGGGCAACUAGGCAGAGCCCGGUACCCUCCAGAUCCUGGGAAGGCCUGUGGAACAAGCAGCUGGGACGCACGUGGAGAACGGAAGAUGGGCAGUGAUGACGCCAAAUCUCAGCAUGAAAAAAUGUUUGAAAAACACAGGUCCUAAAAGCCAGCCUCCUGCAGCCCCCACUGCCAUAACAAGUAGGCAUCAUAUAGAAUUGAAGAAAUUAUCUGAAUGAAGUUGGUAGGCAGAAGUCAUGUGGUUAUUUUCUGACCAUCAGUGAGCAUCUCCCCUGUCUGUUUGGAACUACUCGGAACUCAAGAUCAG